GCCGCUUUAGCUCAGUUGGUAGAGCAACGCUUUUGUAAAGCGAAGGUCGUCAGUUCAAGUCUGACAAGCGGCUCCA
rnacentral:tRNA from 1 species